rnacentral:rRNA from 1 species
AUUGAACGCUGGCGGCAUGCUUUACACAUGCAAGUCGAACGGUAACAGGCCUUCGGGUGCUGACGAGUGGCGAACGGGUGAGUAAUGCAUCGGAACGUACCCAGAGGUGGGGGAUAACGCAGCGAAAGCUGUGCUAAUACCGCAUGUGAUCUGAGGAUGAAAGCGGGGGACCGAGCAGCAAUGUUUGGCCUCGCGCCUUUGGAGCGGCCGAUGUCGGAUUAGCUAGUUGGUGGGGUAAAGGCCUACCAAGGCGACGAUCCGUAGCUGGUCUGAGAGGACGACCAGCCACACGGGGACUGAGACACGGCCCAGACUCCUACGGGAGGCAGCAGUGGGGAAUUUUGGACAAUGGGCGCAAGCCUGAUCCAGCAAUGCCGCGUGCGGGAAGAAGGCCUUCGGGUUUUAAACCGCUUUUGGCAGGAACGAAACGGUGUCCGCUAAUACCGGGCGCUAAUGACGGUACCUGCAGAAUAAGCACCGGCUAACUACGUG